GGCGACUCACCUGGGGCCACUUUCUCAGGCCCAGCCCAGCAGGUGUUUGGGUGGCGCCACCUCGUCUGCCCUGGCGGCGGUGGCGCUUCCGGCCCUGACACGGAAUCCGUCGCGGGGAGCGGGGAGCGCGGGGCCAGCUUAGGAGGGUCAGGAAUCAGGUGUGGCUUACUUGGGUGGUUCUGGCUCAAGGCUUCACCAUGCUGGGGGAUCAGCUUCAGACUCACGUGGUUGAGGCUAACCUGGUGGAAGCCUCGUGGAGCACAGAGCUGAUGUCAGGCCCACGGGAGAGCAGUGGGCAGCGAGCGCUUCAGCCUCCUACCGCCAGGCCCUGACCAGCUGUCAGCACCAGCAGAAGCAAGACUCAGGACAUUCACCCUUGGUAUGUAGCUGUCAUUUUGUGAGGAAGCCCAAGAUGCAGAGAGAGACCACGUGUAGGUGUUGCCAGCAACAGCUGCCAUCUCGGCUGACACUACACCUGUCACCCACUAGACACAUGGAGUGAGAAAACCCUUGAGAGGCCUCCAGACACUCCCACCAUCUGACCACAACUGCACGCAAGAUCCUGAGUGAGAACACCUGGCGAAGUCCAGUCAACCCCAGAACUGUUCCUGACAGAGCUCCUGAAUCCCCUGGAAUUUCCUGGGGCGGAGGCAUAACUUGCCUUAGAUGACUCUUAGUGAGUUCCUGGAUGGCUUCAGGAUGCAGCCCUUCACCACAAAGACCAAGCCACGAUUAGAAGCGUGAAACUUUCAGCCCCAUCCCCCAUCCUCCAGGGAGGCACAAGGGGAUACUUCUGGAAGAUUCAGUGGCUGCUUUGAAGUUUGAAUAGUGCCUCCAGGUCCUGGAGGGAAGAUCACCUUGUUUCCAGUGAUAAGGGACCACCUGCAAGAGGGGUCCUGAUGGGUGAGUGGGUCCAGGGUGAGCCGCUAAUUCUUGACCUAACGCUAAGGCUGAGUCUGGCUGGAGCCCACACGCUGCGACCUGGCCUUCCCUGUUCUCUGCCAGGCCUAUCACUCAAGCCCCGCCACUCAGUUCUGGGUUCCUUCACCAGUGAUGGAUUGGCCAGCCAACCCCUAAUUCAGUGACGGGCUCAAAGCAGCUAUCUGGCAAGGUGAAAUUUUAUUUUUUCAAAAAAGAUUGAUUGAUUGAUUGAUUGAUUGAUUGAUUUAAAGCAAGCAAGCAAGAAG